rnacentral:tRNA from 1 species
GCCUGAGUGGCUCAGUGGUUGAGCGUCUGCCUUCGGCUCAGAGCAUCUGCCUUCGUCCCGUGAUCUCAGGGUCCCAGGAUCGAGUCCUGCAUCAGGCU